UUGAAAAUGUAAAACAGCGGUGCUUGCCAAAUGCUUUAAAUUAUCCAAUGUUGGAGGAGUAUGACUUUAGAAAUGAUACUGUCAAUCCUGAUCUUGACAUGGAACUGAAGCCUCAUGCACAACCACGACCAUAUCAAGAAAAGAGCCUUAGUAAAAUGUUUGGAAAUGGUAGAGCAAGAUCUGGCAUCAUUGUACUACCAUGUGGUGCUGGAAAGUCCUUAGUUGGUGUUUCUGCAGCAUGCCAAAUAAAGAAAAGUUGCCUUCGUUUAGAAUAAAUGCUGUGUCUGGAUCAGUGGGCCUUUCAGUUCCAGCUCUGGUCUACCAUCCAAGAGGAACAAAUGUGUCAAUUCACAUCUGAUAGGAAAGAAAGAUUCAAGGUAAUGCUGGGGUUGUUGUGACAACGUGUAACAUGGUUGCUUUUGGUGGUAAACGAUCUGAUGAAUCUGAGAAAAAAAUAUUGAAUAAGUAAGAAAUAGAGGAUGGGAACUGCUUCUAACGGUUGAGGUCCUGGUUAUUGCUCAUGCGUUUUGUAAAGUUAUUAGCUCAUUACUGCAAACUUGGGCUUACUGGAUAUUCCAACUGCAGCCACACUUGUAAGAGAGGAUGAAAGAAUUGCAGAUUUGAACUUCCUUUGUUGGUUCCAUAUGAAGCAAACUGGUAGGAUCUGGUGAAAGGAUGAUUUAUUGCAAAUGUACAGUGUGCUAAAGGCACCAGAUGUGAUGAACCCAAAUAAGCUUACAGCACGCAAGUUUCUGAUACGAUUACAUGAGCAUAGUGAUAAGAUAAUUGUGUUUUCUCCCAAUCUCUUUGCACUUAUGGAGUAUCAAGUAUGCAAUGAAACUUCACAAACCUAUGAUUUAUGGUGCUAGCAGCCAUGCUGAGAGGACAAAAAUUCUUCAGGCUUAAAAAACUAGCAAGUAUCUUUCCGUCAAAUGUAUUCUGAUGAAAAGUAUUAUAUGGUGGGUGAUAAUUCAACAGUUAUUCCUGAGGCAAAUGUGAUCAUUCAGAUUUUGUCACAUGCUGUUAUCCUAGGGCAAAUGUGACAAAAAGCCCAACGAUGAGGGUGUAUUCUUGGGGCAAAGGGUAAACUGCAAGAUAGGAUGGCUGGUGGCAAAGAACAGUACAAUGCAUUUUUCUAUUCCCAUGUUUCUACUGAUGCACAGGAAAUGUACUAAACCAAAAAGGCAGCAGUUUUUUAUUUGACCAGGGUUACGUCUUUAAUGUACAUCAGGGUUGCAACUGGCAGACUUGGAUCUCAUAUCUGUGCAAUUUACUUGUGAUGUAUGUAAUUCCUUUGACAGUUGAUAACUAGCCUGCCUCUGCCUGAUUCUGGUGCUGAUUUGAACUACUACCAUCUUGAUGAGCAAUUGGCACUCUCCGUGAAGGUUUCGAAUGCUGGCAAUGAUGCUGUUGGCUUUUAGAGCAGCUGCAAGAAUACGCAGAUGACAUAGCCUUCAUAAAGCACGUCGCUCCAUAGCUUCACUAUGUCAGUUGCAAAAGGGAUUGUUUAUAUGGAAUACAGGUCUGGUAUCUCAUUAUUUUAUUGCAUGUGGAGAACUUCAGAUGUCUUGCUUCUGGUUAGGCUACAUGGGUUUUAGACCAUUAAGAACAGUUUCUUGUCUUGCUUAUUUUUGUUUCCUCUCUCUGCAUGGAACUUGUCCUUUUGCUUCCACACUGCACUUAUC
rnacentral:misc_RNA from 1 species